UACGUAGGUGGCGAGCGUUGUCCGGAAUCAUUGGGCGUAAAGGGAGCGCAGGCGGGCAUGUAAGUCUUUCUUAAAAGUGCGGGGCUCAACCCCGUGAUGGGAAAGAAACUACAUGUCUUGAGUACAGGAGAGGAAAGCGGAAUUCCUAGUGUAGCGGUGAAAUGCGUAGAUAUUAGGAGGAACACCAGUGGCGAAGGCGGCUUUCUGGACUACAACUGACGCUGAGGCGCGAAAGCCAGGGGAGCGAACGGG
rnacentral:rRNA from 1 species